CUUCCAGUCUGAGGAAACAGGACCAGCUGAGGAACUGGCGAGAACAGAACACACAGAAUUCCUUGCAGAUGCUGAGGUGUGCUCCCAUGAAAGGAAGAGAAAGACCACUUGGAGCCACUUCGGAUGACAAGGAAGAGGAUGUGCUGGUCCAACCGAAGAAACAUACUGCAGGGCCGGACACAUCAAGCAGGAUGUGUGGUUUCUGUGCCUGUGUCGACAAGCCUCAUCUUAGAAAACCCCAGAAGGCUGACCUCAAGUCCAGUGUGAGGAAUGCAACAGCGUCUGAGUAAGACCUGAGCAGGAAUGAUGUAGCCAUGCAUCACAGCAAGGUGUGUGACGGAGGCCAUUGCUGGGAAGUGGGGAAGGGUAUGGAGCUAAGCUACGAUGCUUCCAGAAGAGUCAGGAGUUCAAAGUCUGUCACGGCAGGAAGAAGCAACCAGCCUCGGCAGAGUACUGAGUGGAACUGUGAGAACAUAUAUGUGCUAUGUAAGCAUCCCCUGACUCCCCCCACCCCCCACCCCAUCUCUGGUUCUUUGCUAAGGCAAUCUAAGCAUGAACAAUCUUAACAUGAACAGCCAUGUGGAGAA